GUUACAAUUGUCAAUGAAUACGAUGCGCAGCUGAAGAUAUUUAUCAACAAAAUUCGAAUUACAAGCUAACGAGCGAUCAAAAUAAUCCAGAAAUAGUUUAAACUACUUUAAAAAAAGUUUAUACAUUUUUCAAAACAAGAAUUAUAUAUCGGAAGCUAAUAGGUGGGCUGAAACAGAUGAACUAAAGCAACGUAUUAUUCGGACACACUAAUUUCGGAUGUUAAACUAUAUUGUAUAUACUGCCAUGAUAAUGGAAUAAAGGCAAGAGAGACAGGAUUGUUAAAAUAGAAGGUGAUAGAUCUGUGAUAUGUAGACAUAGAAACAGUCGAGGAGACCUGUCAAGUGAUAUAAAUGUUGUCAUACUACAGAGAAUUGUGAUACAAGAAUUCCUAGGCAAUAUUACAAUACCAUAUUGGUGUUUGUAAUUAAAAUCUGUGAUCAUAUAAAAUACAGUUAGAAAUUCAGACAUUUUGUUUGUGGGAAAAUUUGUGAUAUCAGUAACUAUUGUGAAAAGUAAAAGAUAAUCUUUUAAACAUGUCUCAACCACCGCAGACAUAUGAACUUACAACAUUUUCAACAUUGGUUGUUUUAUGUGUUUCAGCAAUUUUCUUAUUCCUUUGUGUAAAAACACUGUUGGGCAUUGUGCAAUGGUUGAUGGGAAAGAACUCAAAGACUGAUAAAUCAGCAAAAGAUGAAAUUAAGGUAACAGAAGAAGUAGAAGAAGAGGAUGAGGCUGAUGGUGGUGUAGACACUACAACAGAACCAGCAGAUCUAGAUACCAAAAAAGGAAAAUAAUAGGAUUAUUAUAACUUAAUUAGGAAUAUACUGUACUGAUUGGAUUACUGUAUAAGUAAAAAUAGUUAUUCUUUGGGAUGGACUCUAGCUGACUUUACAAGAUCUAGAUGUACGUUGUAUUUGUAGAAAUAACAAUAGGGGGUUAUUGUUGUGGAUGUAGGGGUUUAAGAUAAACAUUAUUGUCACUAAAAAUGAGAUAACAAAAUGAAACAGUCUACUGAUAUAGAUUUAAGGAUGGGCAUUUUUUAUAGGACUUAAACAAUGUUGAAAGAAAGUCAUAGAUAAAGAAAUGAACAUGUCUGUUGUUUGUCAUUGCCAGAGUAAAAACUCACGUAAAUGGUGCCUAAUCUAAAUCCCUUGGUUUACACAUUUUUCUUUUAAAUUACCGUACAAUAGUUUCAAAGUAUUUUUGUAUGUAAGAGCGCUUAAACUACAGCAAUGCUUUAGUAAUAUAAAAUGGUUACUAGUACUUUAUGUUUUUCUAAAACUUAAAUUUUGUUUCUAUUCCUUACUCUGACAGAAUUAGAUACAUGUAUUUACAGACAAACUGUUAUGUAAGUUUGGUAAAGUAUGUUGUUUCUUACACAGUGAUUUCACCAAGUUAAAUCAUAAUAUUUGAAAAUAUGUGAAAUAUAGAAUUUUGACACUUAUUCUGUUCAAGUACAUAGUAUAUACAUGUAGAAAUCAGGUCAACAUAUUCAUGACAUCAUUUCAAAGAUAACAUUGAUAUAAAUGGGCAUUAUUUGGUGCCAAUUUUGGUAACAUCCUACUUCUAGUUUAUUGAAAAUGCUGUAGAAUGUGAUGUAAGAUAAAAACAAAAAAGAAAAUUGGUCCUUUGUCAGUGAAUAUAUACUAUAUUAAUACAGUUGACUCUCAAUAAGUCAAAAUCGCUUUACUCAAAAUUCCGCCUUAGUCGAAUAAUUUCUAAAGUCCCGUCAAAUUUCCUUCUUUAUCUUUGUAUUUUAACUCCGCUUAGGUCAAAUUUUGACUUACCGAGACUCCUGUUUAGUCGAAAAGAAAAUUUGGUCCCGUCAAUUAAAGUCCACAUAUUUUCAUCUCAAUUAGUCGAAGUGUGAAAACAGCCGACUGAUCAAAGGUCGGCGACAUCAAGGUGAGAUGUUGUCACUCGUGAUUUACACGUUUCAUAGUAAUUUUUAAUUGCCGGUCAUCAUGUAUUAUUAACACGUCGUAAAAGUGUCUUUAAUCCGUUUCACGACUUAAUUGGUUUUAACAGUUAGAUAACUAAAUUAAAAUUUAAUUACAUUUCUUUAAAAAAGUUGACUCGUGCCAGUCUGACGGGUGUUA